rnacentral:rRNA from 1 species
GACGAACGCUGGCGGCGUGCUUAACACAUGCAAGUCGAACGGUGAAGGGGAGCUUGCUCCCCGGAUCAGUGGCGAACGGGUGAGUAACACGUGGGCAACCUGCCCCUGACUCUGGGAUAACGCUUCGAAAGAGGUGCUAAUACCGGAUACGAACUCCCUUGGCAUCUGGGGAGUUGGAAAGUUUUUCGGUCAGGGAUGGGCCCGCGGCCUAUCAGCUUGUUGGUGAGGUAACGGCUCACCAAGGCGACGACGGGUAGCCGGCCUGAGAGGGCGACCGGCCACACUGGGACUGAGACACGGCCCAGACUCCUACGGGAGGCAGCAGUGGGGAAUAUUGCGCAAUGGGCGAAAGCCUGACGCAGCAACGCCGCGUGAGGGAUGACGGCCUUCGGGUUGUAAACCUCUUUCAGCAGGGAAGAAGCGAAAGUGACGGUACCUGCAGAAGAAGCACCGGCUAACUACGUGCCAGCCGCCGCCGUAA